AGCGAACGCUGGCGGCAGGCCUAACACAUGCAAGUCGAACGAAGUCUUCGGACUUAGUGGCGGACGGGUGAGUAACACGUGGGAACGUGCCUUUAGGUUCGGAAUAACUCAGGGAAACUUGUGCUAAUACCGAAUGUGCCCUUCGGGGGAAGGAUUUAUCGCCUUUAGAGCGGCCCGCGUCUGAUUAGCUAGUUGGUGAGGUAAAGGCUCACCAAGGCGACGAUCAGUAGCUGGUCUGAGAGGAUGAUCAGCCACAUUGGGACUGAGACACGGCCCAAACUCCUACGGGAGGCAGCAGUGGGGAAUCUUGCGCAAUGGGCGAAAGCCUGACGCAGCCAUGCCGCGUGAAUGAUGAAGGUCUUAGGAUUGUAAAAUCCUUUCACCGGGGACGAUAAUGACGGUACCCGGAGAAGAAGCCCCGGCUAACUUCGUGCCAGCCGCCGCCGUAA
rnacentral:rRNA from 1 species